rfam:Schistosoma mansoni strain Puerto Rico chromosome W, complete genome
AUCUAGCUGACGAGUCCCAAAUAGGACGAAAUGACGCGCCUCAAUCUGGAU